UACGAAGGGGGCUAGCGUUGCUCGGAAUCACUGGGCGUAAAGGGUGCGUAGGCGGGUUUUUAAGUCAGAGGUGAAAUCCUGGAGCUCAACUCCAGAACUGCCUUUGAUACUGGGAAUCUUGAGUAUGGAAGAGGUGAGUGGAACUGCGAGUGUAGAGGUGAAAUUCGUAGAUAUUCGGAAGAACACCAGUGGCGAAGGCGGCUCACUGGCCCGGUACUGACGCUGAGGCGCGAAAGCGUGGGGAGCAAACAGG
rnacentral:rRNA from 1 species